UACGUAGGGUGCAAGCGUUUAAUCGGAAUUACUGGGCGUAAAGCGUACGCAGGCGGCUAUGUAAGACAGGUGUGAAAUCCCCGGGCUUAACCUGGGAACUGCAUUUGUGACUGCAUAGCUAGAGUCUGUCAGAGGGGGUGGAAUUCCACGUGUAGCAGUGAAAUGCGUAGAGAUGUGGAGGAACACCGAUGGCGAAGGCAGCCCCCUGGGUUAACACUGACGCUCAGGCGACGAAAGCGUGGGGAGCAAACAGG
rnacentral:rRNA from 1 species